GCUGCAGAGCCGUGCGCGC
rnacentral:miRNA from 1 species